rnacentral:tRNA from 1 species
CAGAGCGUAGUUAAGAUAGAAAAACACUUCCCUUACACUGAAAAGACACCCGUGCAAUUCGGGUCGCCCUGA